AUGUAUGCUUAGGGGCCUUUGUUGUUUAAAAAACAAAAUCAAUCUUAUGUGCUAUAUAAACAGCUGAAGGUUAAUUAGCAGAAUACUGCACAUAGUAAUGCUGCCAGUCCCCUUCACAUACAC
rnacentral:snoRNA from 1 species